UGUAAACUCCAACCUAGCUUCCCCCUCCUGACCACAGCCCCUUUGCGUGCAUAACUGGGCCACACUGAUGCUGUGUUAUGUCACACUGACUCGGUGCUUAUCCUACCAUAUAACCAAUGUAACUACAUCCUGCUUGGCAAGCACACCUGCUAUUGUGUAUAAUUCCUUGAACUCCCCCCUUGGUGAUUGUUUGGAAAUACCCUUAGCAACCAACAACUCUGGGAACAUCUUUCCCCCUGGUUACUAGCCAACUUGCCUGUUCUGCUUCUAUAAAAUUCCGCUAGGUACCCCCGCCCAUACUUAAGUCAAGGUAUAAAGGGAAAUCAAACCCCUUCUUUGGGGCCGAGAGAACUUUGAGCAUUAGCUGCCUCUUGGUCGCCGGCCAAUCAAUAAAGGACUCUUAAUUUGGAACUCAGAGCGUGGUGCAUUCCAACUUGCUCGGUUAUUAUAAUGCCAUGUGACUUGAUUUGCCAGUGGGAUCAUAGUAGAUGUAAUUCAAGUAGGGGGCUUGGAAUGCACUUUCGGGAUGAGUAUGACCUCUGAGCCUGUGCCUCUGCGGUUGUCAUGAGAAGAACAUGUCUAGCUGGACCCCCAGUCCAAGGAGAAUGACAGACUCUCAGAAUAGAUCUGCUGUUCCAACCAGCCCACAGGACAGUACCAGAACAAAAGGGGCAGGAUGACUGCAAUGCGAAUGGUGGAACAUCCUGUUGCUGAAGAGCAGAUGCCAUGCUGAAGCAAGCAGUAUUAUAGUCUGCAGCUGCACCCUAAGUGGGAGUGAGGCAGAGAGCCUCCUGCCUGAUUAGAAUCCAGGAGGCAAUAAGGAUCUGUCUCCUGACAGCCUUUUAGGAAGAUAGGGAGGCAAGUGAAAGAUGGCCUUGUAGUAAGUAGCUCCUUCCACACUCUAUAUUAUCAUUAGUCUCCUGCUCACAACUCUGUUUGAAUGUACUGCUACCAGAGUAUCUCCAGAUUCCAAAAUUGCAAGCAAAUUUUCAAGUGCCAAGAUGAAAUCAACCACAGUAACAAAAAUAUACUAGCUUCAUUUAUUAUUACCCAGAUUAUCAAAGAUCUUUUUUAAGGUGUAGCCACUGAUGCAAGUAAUCAUGAUACAGAAAAAAACACCACUUUGUGCAAAUUUUUUUUGCUACUUUAAAAAAGCUUACUUAUACGACUACUGUGAAUAAAAGCCCUUCCAGAUGAGAACUCAAAAAUAACGGCAAAUUUUUGCAGAGACUCUCUGGUUGAGUUAGAACUUAAUGAGAAAAAUUUCACUGCUUUUGGGGAAAGCAAUACAAAUACAAAUUUUAGUGAAUUUGCUUAUGCAUCUUUAUAGAUAUGGACAAUACUUAAUAAAUGUUGAAGCAAAGCAUGAAUGAUUCUAUGGAAAGUGUUGGCUGUCCUGUUCAUCUUCUGCAUAAGCUGCUCACACAGCAUCUGAUGUUCUUUCUACUGACACUGAAGUAAUUGUCAUGAAAUUCUUGUAUGUUGGCUUUUAUAUUGUUUGUGCAAUUAAAGAAUUUUUGUAUUUGG